AUGGUGUUCCCCGCAGCUGGUUCGGCCGCGUCCCACGGGCGCGGACGAGGCAAGAGGGAACCCGGUGGAAGUCCGGGACUGCCCCGCAGCGGUGAGUGGGAACGACCGCCGUCAUCAGCACUGGGCCACCGGCCUGGGAAGCGACGGCCAGUAGGAACGAGUACGACGCCCGCGAGUCCGAAGACCUGCCAGCGCGCCGUGCGCUGC
rnacentral:ncRNA from 2 species